CUUUCAGGAACUGGGAGCUCAGGUGACGUUCGGCAGGAGGAAGCAGUGCUGUGGAAUUCCAGGGAAUUUUCUCCCUCUCGUCUUACUCAACACGGAACUUUACAUCGACUGAAGUCAGCCAACCGAAAAGUCUCUUCCAGUUUUGUGUAAAAUAUGAAGAAACCAGUUAACGAAAACAACUUUGACUGCAAACCUUUGGACACGCUGAGGGCAAAAUAAAUGAUGUGAUCAGGCAUGUCUUCCAUCGCUGAUACAUGCAGUACCCCCUAAGGACAUCCAGCAACAUGUGUCUGUGUGCAUUUUGAAUGUGGCUUAUAUGAACUGAACUACACGAGACACACACAAACAUUCGCAAAAGACAUUUUAUAAUAGCGAAUGUAAGAUAUUUAAAGGGAACAGACAACAAUUUCAAACCAUGUUCUUUGGGCAACAAGUAUUAUAAUGAAUAUAUGUGUAUGCAGGAGACGACCAUGUGAUACCUGGAUAUAUGCACCCUUGUCGUGAGCGCAGUUCAACUUUUUUAGAGAACCUACUUUUGACUCAACAUUCAAAUCCAUUUUGCCUUUACCUUUAAGAAGUUUCCUGGCAAUCACAUGACCAAAGUGUGCUUUGAAAGAUUUGUUAUAAACAAAAACCCGUGUUUGUAUUUGAAGUUCUUUGUCUUUACUGCAGUCUUACACCCCCCCCACACACAUUUUGUGACCAAUAUUGACCUAUUAACAUGUUGUAAUUGUGUA